rnacentral:rRNA from 1 species
UACGUAGGGUGCGAGCGUUAAUCGGAAUUACUGGGCGUAAAGCGUGCGCAGGCGGUUUGUUAAGUCAGAUGUGAAAGCCCCGGGCUCAACCUGGGAAUUGCGUUUGAAACUGGCAAGCUAGAGUCUGUCAGAGGGGGGUAGAAUUCCACGUGUAGCAGUGAAAUGCGUAGAGAUGUGGAGGAAUACCGAUGGCGAAGGCAGCCCCCUGGGAUAAGACUGACGCUCAUGCACGAAAGCGUGGGGAGCAAACAGG